AACCACCACGUCAACACAAGCGGCCCUCCACGACUCCCAAAAAUUUUUUAUUCGUGAAGGCUUUUCGGCGACCAUCACAGGCGAUGAGCUCCCGGAUGGCCGGAUCCAUCGUCCUCCGCCACGUCGGCCUCCGCAACUUCACCGCAGCGUCGAUCUCUCCGGUGGCGGCGAGGCCACUGCUCGCCAGCGGCGACGGCGUCCCGGCGGUUAUGGUGCGUCUGUUGUCCACGUCCCCCGCCUCGGAGGCGGCGGCGAAGGCGGCCAAGGAGGGAGGGGAGAAGAAGGAGGUGGCGAUCAACAGCUACUGGGGGAUCGUGCAGUCGAACAAGCUGCUGCGGGAGGACGGCGCCGAGUGGAAGUGGACUUGCUUUAGGCCAUGGGAGACGUACACGGCGGACACGUCGAUCGAUCUGACGAGGCACCACGUGCCCAAGACGCUGCUGGACAAGAUCGCCUACUGGACCGUCAAGUCGCUGCGCUUCCCCACCGACAUCUUCUUCCAGAGGAGGUAUGGCUGCCGGGCGAUGAUGCUGGAGACCGUGGCCGCGGUGCCGGGAAUGGUGGGUGGCAUGCUCCUCCACCUGCGCUCGCUCCGCCGCUUCGAGCAGAGCGGCGGCUGGAUCCGCGCGCUGCUGGAGGAGGCCGAGAACGAGCGCAUGCACCUCAUGACCUUCAUGGAGGUGGCGAAGCCGAGGUGGUACGAGCGCGCGCUUGUCCUCGCUGUCCAGGGCGUCUUCUUCAACGCCUACUUCCUCGGCUACCUCUUCUCCCCCAAGUUCGCGCACCGCGUCGUCGGCUACCUCGAGGAGGAGGCAAUCCACUCCUACACCGAGUACCUCAGGGACCUGGAGGCCGGCAAGAUCGACAACGUCUCUGCCCCGGCCAUCGCCAUCGACUACUGGCGUCUCCCCGCCAACGCCACGCUCAAGGACGUCGUCACGGUGGUGCGCGCUGACGAGGCUCACCACCGCGACGUCAACCACUUCGCAUCGGACAUCCAUUACCAGGGCAUGCAGUUGAAGGAGUCCCCUGCGCCGAUCGGAUAUCACUGAGGCUAUUAGUGCUCUGCUGAAGUUUGCAUCGCUAAUAAAAAAAAAAUGAGUGUCUCGUUCUGAAGGGAAAGCAAACGAGAGCUGGUUAUAUGUGAUUUGGUAAUGGGGUCGUCGCUAUCGUCUCUUCCCCUAUACUGCAACCGAGGAAUGAUUGUGCAGGCUCUGAUUCUUCUUGAUUUGUUUGUUAACUGUUGCUUCACGAUACACAGUGGCACCCCUGAAGUUGUUCUGUUCUUGAUGGCAGCUGAAUAGGGCUCUCUAAUCUGAGAUGUACAAUAGUAGAAUUUCUGCACUCGAUGUCUCUAUACACUUCUGCUAGUCGUUUACUCUGUAUCUUGCUUGGAUCACUGAUGACUGAUUAUGCUAACUGACUGCAUUUGCUGCUCUUUAGCACCCCGUUAUACAGCUCUCCGUUUCUUGUC